rnacentral:tmRNA from 1 species
GGGGCUGAAUGGAAUCGACUUGCGGAGUCGACACCAUGUCCACCAUCCGAGUUGCUCAGACUCGUUAAACGGGGCAAAGAGAGAUCUGACAAUUCAGAACUCGCCUACGCUGCGUAAGCAGUUGUAGGAACAUCGCACCCCGCAAGGGGAGACGGGGCCAGACCGCGCAGCCUGGCAACAGAAGCGUGGUUGACGGCAGGGAAAGACCGCCAGACGGUUCGGAAGAGACGAACUGACAGCCGGCAAAGACCGGUAGGCCGCGAGGCCAACGGUUACCUCCACCGCGAGUGAGGAUGAUGGUGAGGGCGGGCUGAGACCCGUGAGGACCCGGGUUCGAAUCCCGGCAGCUCCACUA